GAAGAGUAAAUGAGCCAAAAAUUAAAGAUCUAUAUCUUACACACUCCACUACCCUUCAUUGGUCACACACAGAAUUCGUUUUGUUUUGUAUUAGCCAAUAACCACUCAAUCACCUCAUAAUCUUUUCAAGGUGAUAUAGUGAUAUAAGCUUAAAAAUUUUAAACUUGUGUUUCUUGAAAGUUUGAUUUCCAAUUCUGCACACUAUUUUCAAUACGUAUUAAAAUCACUUUCCAUUUUAAGUUACAUUAUCUUAUAUGGGAUUAACAGAUCGGCUACACAAUGAAAAUAUGUCGACAUCAAUCCCAGGCUUGAUAUGUUGAUGGCAUACAACUAUGAGAUCAGAGUGAUGGAAGUUGGAACAUGAGUUGAUUCUUUAGCUUAUAAACCACUCAUAUCCCUUUGACGCCAUUACUGUUGAUGUUGUUACUUUCAGCACCAUGUGAUCUAUUACUACCUUACGAGAACAAGUGUUGGCGAUGCAAAAAGACCACAAUGCACGUGCCAAAGUGAUGUAAAGUUGGCUUAAAGAACUGCUUAUAGCGACCACGGAUAAAGUGUUGCGCACUGCCACCACCCUAGGAUUGUCACCAUAGUAAGCUAGAUUGUUUGUCAUGUAUUAACUAAACAAAAUUUGUAAAUAAAUAACAAAAAUACUAUUAUAAUAUGAUGUUUUUGAUU
rnacentral:lncRNA from 1 species